rnacentral:ncRNA from 2 species
UACGGAGAGUGCAAGCGUUGUUCGGAAUUAUUGGGCGUAAAGCGCGUGUAGGCGGUUUGUCAAGUCCGGCGUGAAAGCCCGGGGCUCAACCUCGGAAGUGCGCUGGAAACUGACUCACUUGAGUACCGGAGGGGGAGGUGGAAUUCACGAGUGUAGAGGUGAAAUUCGUAGAUAUUCGGAAGAACAUCAGUGGCGAAGGCGACCUCCUGGACGGAUACUGACGCUGAGACGCGAAAGCGUGGGGAGCAAACAGG